ACAUUAACUGCAAUGUCUAGUAGGCAAUAAGGGCAUGUUUGGUUCAUGAGUGGAAUCGAAAUCGGAAAUGGUAUUGGAUUGUAUUGGAAUAGGAAAUUGAAUGACGAAUUAUCUAAAAAUGUUUAGUUUAUUAUUGAAAUGGAAAUCUGAAUGGACAUUUAGAAUUGUAAGAAGGGGUUUGGUAAAGAGAGAAGAGAGCGAUGAAGGGAGAGGAAGGAGGGUGUUUGUAAGAGAGAGUUUGGAAUGGUUUACUAGGAAUGGGUUAAUCCGGAAUUCAAAACUAGCUCGAGCCAUAAAUACAUUCGGCCAUUUCCAUUCUAGAGUGGAAUAAGAAUCGGAAUCCGAUUCUUGUAAAACAAACAACAACUAUUGAAAUCAAUAAAUCUCGUUCCGAUUCCAUAGUCUAAAAUAUGUAAACCAAACAAGUCCU
rnacentral:lncRNA from 1 species